rnacentral:rRNA from 1 species
GACGAACGCUGGCGGCGUGCUUAACACAUGCAAGUCGAACGGUAAGGCUCCAGCUUGCUGGGGUACACGAGUGGCGAACGGGUGGGUAACACGUGGGUGACCUGCCCUGCACUUCGGGAUAAGCCUGGGAAACUGGGUCUAAUACCGGAUAGGACCAUGGUGUGGAUACUGUGGUGGAAAGUUUUUUCGGUGUGGGAUGGGCCCGCGGCCUAUCAGCUUGUUGGUGGGGUAAUGGCCUACCAAGGCGGCGACGGGUAGCCGGCCUGAGAGGGUGGACGGCCACAUUGGGACUGAGACACGGCCCAGACUCCUACGGGAGGCAGCAGUGGGGAAUAUUGCACAAUGGGCGGAAGCCUGAUGCAGCGACGCCGCGUGGGGGAUGACGGCCUUCGGGUUGUAAACUCCUUUCACCAUCGACGAAGGGUUUCUGACGGUAGAUGGAGAAGAAGCACCGGCUAACUACGUG